UACGUAGGGGGCGAGCGUUGUCCGGAAUUAUUGGGCGUAAAGAGCUUGUAGGCGGUUUGUCGCGUCUGCCGUGAAAAUCCGGGGCUCAACCCCGGACUUGCGGUGGGUACGGGCAGACUAGAGUGUGGUAGGGGAGACUGGAAUUCCUGGUGUAGCGGUGAAAUGCGCAGAUAUCAGGAGGAACACCGAUGGCGAAGGCAGGUCUCUGGGCCACUACUGACGCUGAGAAGCGAAAGCGUGGGGAGCGAACAGG
rnacentral:rRNA from 1 species